GACAGAGGGUGCAAACGUUGCUCGGAAUUACUGGGCGUAAAGCGCGUGUAGGCGGACCAGCAAGUCGGACGUGAAAUCCCUGAGCUCAACUCAGGAACUGCAUCCGAAACUGCUGGUCUGGAGUGGUGGAGAGGGAAGCAGAAUUCCUGGUGUAGAGGUGAAAUUCGUAGAUAUCAGGAGGAACACCGGUGGCGAAGGCGGCUUCCUGGACACUUACUGACGCUGAGACACGAAAGCCAGGGGAGCGAACGGG
rnacentral:rRNA from 1 species